GGGCUUGACAUCCCACGAACCUGCCCGAAAAGGUGGGGUGCCCGCAAGGGAGCGUGGAGACAGGUGGUGCAUGGCUGUCGUCAGCUCGUGUCGUGAGAUGUUGGGUUAAGUCCCGCAACGAGCGCAACCCUCACCCCUAGUUGCCACCGGGUUAAGCCGAGCACUCAAGGGGAACUGCCAGCGUCAAGCUGGAGGAAGGCGGGGAUGACGUCAAGUCAUCAUGCCCCUUACGCCCUGGGCUACACACGUGCUACAAUGGCCAGUGCAAAGGGACGCGAGACUGCGAAGUGGAGCUAAUCCCAAAAAGCUGGUCUAAGUUCAGAUUGCAGUCUGCAACUCGACUGCAUGAAGGAGGAAUCGCUAGUAAUCGCGCAUCAGCCCGGCGCGGUGAAUACGUUCCCGGGCCUUGUACACACCGCCCGUCACACCACGAUAGCUGUCUGUACUCGAAGUCGCUGAG
rnacentral:rRNA from 1 species